rnacentral:rRNA from 1 species
UGAGGAAUAUUGGUCAAUGGGCGAGAGCCUGAACCAGCCAAGUAGCGUGCAGGAAGACGGCCCUAUGGGUUGUAAACUGCUUUUAUGUGGGGAUAAAGUGCGUGACGUGUCAUGCAUUGCAGGUACCACAUGAAUAAGGACCGGCUAAUUCCGUGCCAGCAGCCGCGGUAAUACGGAAGGUCCGGGCGUUAUCCGGAUUUAUUGGGUUUUAAGGGAGCGUAGGCUGUCUAUUAAGCGUGUUGUGAAAUAUACCGGCUCAACCGUUGGCUUGCAGCGCGAACUGGUCGACUUGAGUAUGCAGGAAGUAGGCGGAAUUCAUGGUGUAGCGGUGAAAUGCUUAGAUAUCAUGACGAACUCCGAUUGCGCAGGCAGCUUACUGUAGCAUAACUGACGCUGAUGCUCGAAAGUGCGGGUAUCAAACAGG